rfam:Camelus ferus unplaced genomic scaffold scaffold1533, whole genome shotgun sequence.
GAGGGUAUAGCUCAGUGGUAGAGUGUGUGCUUAGCAUGCAAGAGGUCCUGGGCUCAAUCCCCAGCACCUCCA